GGCGUGAUGCGUGGCGGCGUGGCUUCUUCGGCAGCGUGUUCCGCCUCUACUUUGGCCUUCGUCUCACUGAGCAUCUUUUCCCAUCGCUGACCAAUCGUCAACUUUUCGACUUUUACCUCCACUGUAAAGAACUAUUGGUGACAAAACAUUUCGGGAUAUAAUCUCAGAGCUACGCCACAUCCUGCUACCUUGAUCUAUCGAAGACGCCAGUGCAGGGACAACCCGGCUCAAUACUAAUUAAAAUAAAUGAACAUUUACGUCGUCACAGCAGGUGGAUGUGAGGGCGAGAGGCCAGGAGUCCGGGCGAAAGAUUAGGUGACGAGCCCGGGCCAACGGAGACAUCAUUAAAAUGCAUGGUUCAAACGGCAUCUAACUGGUUUCUGCUUCUGUAUCUGAUUCGGGGCGCACCAUGCAAAUUGAAUUGCAUAUGGCCACUCCGGCAGAGGAGGAACUUUUCCACUUUUACUUUGAUGAAUGUUUCCAGCCAAGUCGCCUCGAUAGUAACUGCGCACAAGUAUGUGCUGCGAUGGCUGGGCUGAAAACUUACUUUCGAGAGCCUCAAAAAUAGCACAAAACACGCUUUAAGUUGGACAACUUUAAUGAUAGCAAACUAAACGCCAGGUAAACGAGUUUGCCCAGCAAGUUAAACACCUAUAAAAAUACAACUUUCAUUUACGAACAUCAACGACAAGGGUUCGAAGGCGGCAUGUAAAACAAUUUCGGGCUUCUGGGCGUUACUCUUUGCCAACUGGUGAAGCGUGCAGCGUGUAAACGAGAGCUGGGAGUGAGGAAUCCAGUGAC